AUGGCACAGUGGCCUACUCCGACCAACGCCACUGAGCUUCGCGCGUCCCUUGGGCUCACCGGCUACUACCGCAAGUUCGUGCCGCACUACGGGAUCAUCGCCAAGCCACUCGCGCAGCAGCUCACCAAGAAAGGCUUCAAGUGGCCCGAGUCCGCGCAACGCGCGUUCGGCACGCUCAAGGCGGCGAUGGUGACCACGCCGGUGCUCGCCCUCCCCGACUUCGACAAGCCCUUCUCAAUUGAGACGGACGCGUGCAACACGGGCAUUGGUGUGGUGCUGGUGCAAGACGGCCACCCCAUUGCCUACUACAGCAAGGCGCUGGGAGUGAAGAACCAGAAGCUUUCAACUUAUGAGGAAGGAAUUUCUGGCGGUAAUGAUGGCCGUGGACAAAUGGCGCUCUUAUCUGCAACGCGGGCCGUUCACCAUCGUCACCGACCACAAAAGCUUGUGCACGCUGGGCGAUCAGCAGCUGGUGACCGACGUCCAGUGCCGCGCGAUGUCGAAACUCGUCGGCCUGCAGUUCAAGUUUCAGUACAAGCGCGGCAUCGACAACGGCGCAGCCGACGCGCUCUCCCGCGUGGGCAGCCACUUCAGCGCCAACGCGUUGUCGCUGUGUCAGCCCGCGUGGAUCCAGGAGGUGGCUAA
rnacentral:rRNA from 1 species